rnacentral:rRNA from 1 species
ACUGCGGGCGUUAGAAAUUUGAGUGGAUUUGACUCUAGUACGAGAGGACCGAGUUGAACUGACCUCUGGUGCACCAGUUGUUCCGCCAGGAGCAUUGCUGGGUAGCUAUGUCGGGAUGGGAUAAGCGCUGAAAGCAUAUAAGCGCGAAACCCGCCACAAGAUGAGAUUUCUUUAAAGGGUCGUAGGAGAUGACUACGUUGAUAGGUCAUAGGUAUAAGUGCAGUAAUGUAUGUAGCCGAGUGAUACUAAUAGCCCAUAGGCUUGCGCA